UAGGGAAUCUUCCGCAAUGGGCGAAAGCCUGACGGAGCAACGCCGCGUGAGUGAUGAAGGUCUUCGGAUCGUAAAACUCUGUUAUUAGGGAAGAACAAAUGUGUAAGUAACUAUGCACGUCUUGACGGUACCUAAUCAGAAAGCCACGGCUAACUACGUGCCAGCAGCCGCGGUAAUACGUAGGUGGCAAGCGUUAUCUGGAAUUAUUGGGCGUAAAGCGCGCGUAGGCGGUUUUUUAAGUCUGAUGUGAAAGCCCACGGCUCAACCGUGGAGGGUCAUUGGAAACUGGAAAACUGGGGUGCAGAAGAAGAAAGUGGAAUUCCAUGUGUAGCGGUGAAAUGCGCAGAGAUAAGGAGGAACACCCGUGGCGAAGGCGACGUUCUGGUCUGUAACUGACGCUGAUGUGCGAAAGCGUGGGGAUCAAACAGG
rnacentral:rRNA from 1 species